AAAACUUCGUACACGAUAAGAAAACAUUAAUUAUAAUCACAACAUUUUUCAUUGAACAAUAAUGUUUCUUGAAAUAGAAACUAUGAGAAGUUGCGAGUUUUCUUUGUGAACAACGAUCACUUUAACUUGUCUGUUUGUCCGAGCUUGCCAAGGCCAUUGCAACGAAGACAAACUAUUUGAGCUUCAUCUUUCCGGGCAGCAUUUGCUCGAAGCGUUGCACCUGUUUUCCUCACAAAUCCAGCUCCAUCACACUCCGGGCAUAUGUCCUUGCGGGCGAAGAGAAUUGGGAAUGCCGUGCCGACGAGAGCCACCGCAAUGGCGCCGCCGAUGAGAUAAGUGUUGCUGUC
rnacentral:misc_RNA from 1 species